AUUGAACGCUGGCGGCAUGCCUUACACAUGCAAGUCGAACGGUAACAGGUCUUCGGAUGCUGACGAGUGGCGAACGGGUGAGUAAUACAUCGGAACGUGCCCAGACGUGGGGGAUAACGAGGCGAAAGCUUUGCUAAUACCGCAUACGAUCUAAGGAUGAAAGCAGGGGACCGCAAGGCCUUGUGCGUUUGGAGCGGCCGAUGGCAGAUUAGGUAGUUGGUGGGAUAAAAGCUUACCAAGCCGACGAUCUGUAGCUGGUCUGAGAGGACGACCAGCCACACUGGGACUGAGACACGGCCCAGACUCCUACGGGAGGCAGCAGUGGGGAAUGUUGGACAAUGGGCGAAAGCCUGAUCCAGCAAUGCCGCGUGCAGGAUGAAGGCCUUCGGGUUGUAAACUGCUUUUGUACGGAACGAAAAGGCUCUGGCUAAUACCUGGGGCACAUGACGGUACCGGAAGAAUAAGCACCGGCUAACUACGUG
rnacentral:rRNA from 1 species